rnacentral:rRNA from 1 species
UACAGAGGUCUCAAGCGUUUGUUCGGAUUCAUUGGGCGUAAAGGGUGCGUAGGCGGCGCGGUAAGUCGGGUGUGAAAUUUCGAGGCUUAACUUCGAAACUGCAUUCGAUACUGCCGUGCUUGAGGACUGGAGAGGAGACUGGAAUUUACGGUGUAGCGGUGAAAUGCGUAGAUAUCGUAAGGAAGACCAGUGGCGAAGGCGGGUCUCUGGACAGUUCCUGACGCUGAGGCACGAAGGCCAGGGGAGCAAACGGGG